GUUGAAUAUAACUUUGAUGACGUUAGACGA
rnacentral:sRNA from 1 species